CCCGCCGGCGACCGGCGCACGGGUGAGUAACACGUAUGCAACCUGGCCGCCACAGGGGGAUAACCCGCGGAAACGCGGCCUAAUACCCCGUGACGCCACCGGAGGGCAUCCUCCGGUGGCCAAAGGAGCGAUCCGGUGGCGGAUGGGCAUGCGGCGCAUUAGCUAGACGGCGGGGUGACGGCCCACCGUGGCGACGAUGCGUAGGGGUUCUGAGAGGAAGGUCCCCCACACUGGUACUGAGACACGGACCAGACUCCUACGGGAGGCAGCAG
rnacentral:rRNA from 1 species